GUCCACGCCGUAAAACGAUGGAUACUAGCUGUUGGGCGCAAGUUCAGUGGCUAAGCGAAAGUGAUAAGUAUCCCACCUGGGGAGUACGUUCGCAAGAAUGAAACUCAAAGGAAUUGACGGGGGCCCGCACAAGAGGUGGAGCAUGUGGUUUAAUUCGAUGAUACGCGAGGAACCUUACCAAGGCUUAAAUGUAGAUUGACCGGUUUUGGAAACAGAUCUUUCGCAAGACAAUUUACAAGGUGCUGCAUGGUUGUCGU
rnacentral:rRNA from 1 species